AUGGGGAGGAGGAAAGGUUGCCGUGGAGGUGCGGGAGGACAGGAUACACAACCAACUUCUGUCUGGUGGGCUGGCACACACCAAUCACAGAGGGGAAGUAAACGAUCCGAAGCCACGGUGAAGCAAAAUCGGAAGUCAUGUAAUAAGGCAGCUCACAGUCAGACCACUGCGAUACAGUGCCAUUCACUGAAAUCUGAAAUACGAAAUUCCCAAGCGGGGCCCGGGAACCGCCCAAGGAGACAUGUAGGAUCACGGGCAUGUUUCCGAAAGAGGAGCUCUGUUAUCUUUCUGCACACCCAUUUGAAAUUGAACGAGACUUUCACCAGAGUUUUGCCGCGGCGAAGCGGCGGACCCUCAUUAACGGACUGCUCAUGGGAUGAAAAUGAACUCCUAGAGGACUGGUGGGCUUCAAUCACCGGGCCCACGUGGGCCCGAGGGACAGGCAGGAUUACCCGGAUAUCGUUCCUGUCCGUUAUCUCGUGCUUCCUGGGAUGGAGGACAAGGAGGCUCAGGACCAGACAUCUCAACGUUGUCGUGCCUAAGGAUCCCGUCCGAGAAACUGGCCUCCUAAUAUUGAACAGCAGCCAUGUGAGAAAAUUUAGGAUUUAUCAUAUCAAGAGAAGCAGCGUGGCCUAAUGGAUAGAGCUCAGGACUGGGCGUCAGAAGGACCUGGGUUCUAAACCUGCCUCCUCCACUUGGCUUCUCUGUGAGCAUGGGCCAGGCUCUUCGCUUCUUCGUGUCUCAGUUACCUCACCUGUAAAAUGGGGAUGAAGACUGUGGGCCCUGUGUGAGACAGGGACCGUGUCCAACCUGAUUAACUUGUAUCUAUCCCAGUGCUUAGUACAGAGCCUGGCACAUAGUAAGUGCCUAACAAAUACCAUAAAAAAAGGCAGGGUCUUGAGCCAGCAGGGCCAUGUUGAAGCCAAAAAUGGUCAAUCGAGCUCAUCCUUAGCCGAGCCUCAAGAUGACUUGGGCCUGGUCCUACCUGGGACAGUGUCUACAGUCAGCUCUGCCUCACUCCAAGGGGCUGCAAGCAUCGGAGCCAAGUCGUGAUGGAGCUCGAAGGCAGAGAGACUGUUUUGAACCACAGAGCAUCAUCUUUCAAUAAUAGAAAUUGCAUCAUCAUCAUGGCAUUUAUUAAGCACUUGCUCUGUGCCAAGCACUGAGAAAAGCAGGGGAGUAUCUACAAGAUAUAAGAUAUACACAGGAUGUUUAUCUAUAAUUCUAUUUAUCUAUUUUGAUGCUACUGAUGCCUGUCUACUUGUUUUGUUUUGUUGUCUGUCUCCCCCCUUCUAGACUGGGAGCCCGUUGUUGGGUAGGGAUUGUCUCUAUCUGUUGCUGUACUGUACUUUCCGAGCUCGUAGUCCAGUGCUCUGCACACAGUAAGUGCUCAAAAAAUACGAUCGAAUGAAUGAAAGAUAAACGGAUCAGAUGCCGCCCCGUCCCACACGGAGCUCGCGAUUUAAGAGGGAGGGAGGACUGUCAGCUUUUCCCCAUUUUACAGGUGAGAAAACUGAGGCGCAGGGAAGUUAAAGUGACUCGCCUAAGGUCACCCAGCGGGCAAGUGGCGGAGACAGGAUUAAAACCCAGGUCUCCCGACUCCCAGUCCAUUGCUAUUUCCACUAGGCCACUCAGAAUGGGCAGGAGGGUUCAUCAAUCUCUUGCCAGAUCUGCCCCCUAUUACCACGUGUUAAUAAAAAAAAAAGAACCUAUUUUCCAGAAGAACAGAAUGAAAAUUAUUUCUGAUAAGUGAAAUCAAUUAUUAAUAAUGUAAUUCAAGAAUUGCUGCAAGGAAUCCUCAGCUCUAGAAGAAUCUAAGUGAGUGUGUGUUUUAGUGAAUCACUUCAGUGAAAAGUGAAAAUCUUGAUAUUCUCCCUUCUGGAGAGUGAAAUGCAGCAAUUUUGACU
rnacentral:lncRNA from 1 species